GGGACGAACGCUGGCGGCGUGCUUAACACAUGCAAGUCGAGCGGUAAGGCCUUUCGGGGUACACGAGCGGCGAACGGGUGAGUAACACGUGGGUGAUCUGCCCUGCACUUCGGGAUAAGCCUGGGAAACUGGGUCUAAUACCGGAUAUGACCUCAGGUUGCAUGACUUGGGGUGGAAAGAUUUAUCGGUGCAGGAUGGGCCCGCGGCCUAUCAGCUUGUUGGUGAGGUAAAAGCUCACCAAGCCGACGAUCUGUAGCUGGUUUGAGAGAACGACCAGCCACACUGGGACUGAGACACGGCCCAGACUCCUACGGGAGGCAGCAGUGGGGAAUUUGGACAAUGGGCGAAAGCCUGAUCCAGCAAUGCCGCGUGCAGGAAGAAGGCC
rnacentral:rRNA from 1 species